rnacentral:rRNA from 1 species
AUACGUAGGGGGCAAGCGUUAUCCGGAUUUACUGGGUGUAAAGGGAGCGUAGACGGUAUGGUAAGUCAGAUGUGAAAGGCGGGGGCUCAACCCCCCGGAAUGCAUUUGAAACUAUCAAACUAGAGUGUCGGAGAGGUAAGUGGAAUUCCUAGUGUAGCGGUGAAAUGCGUAGAUAUUAGGAGGAACACCAGUGGCGAAGGCGGCUUACUGGACGAUAACUGACGUUGAGGCUCGAAAGCGGUGGGGAGC